UUUGUUCAACGGCCGCGGUAUCCUAACCGUGCGAAGGUAGCGUAAUCACUUGUCUUUUAAAUGGGGACUUGUAUGAAUGGCAUCACGAGGGUUAUACUGUCUCCUUUUUCUAAUCAGUGAAACUAAUCUUCCCGUGAAGAAGCGGGAAUAAACAUAUAAGACGAGAAGACCCUAUGGAGCUUUAAACUUAAUAACAAAUACUAACCUUUCAUCAACCUUCAGAAUAUUAACCUUAAUUUUAGUAUUAUGAUUAUUAGUUUUAGGUUGGGGUGACCGCGGAGUAAAAAUUAACCUCCACAUUGAACGGGACCUGUCCCUGAGCCGAGAACUACAGCUCGAAGCACCAACAAAUUGACAUUAAUUGACCCAAUAUUUUGAUCAACGAACCAAGUUACCCUAGGGAUAACAGCGCAAUCCACUUCAAGAGCUCCUAUCGACAAGUGGGUUUACGACCUCGAUGUUGGAUCAGGGUAUCCCAGUGGUGCAGCCGCUACUAAAGGUUCGUUUGUUCAACGAUUAAAACCCU
rnacentral:rRNA from 1 species